rnacentral:sRNA from 2 species
GGCGGCGUGCUGUUCAGUCCCUUCCUUGUUUAUGUGUUGCUGGCGCUGGUGCUUACCGGGUUGCUGCGUCUGGUGGUGCAGGCCACGCCGUUGGGGCGCUGGAUCUGGCAUGAAGCGCUGUUCGACGCGGCGCUG